UCUUGGCCAAAACACCACCUUAACUUCGUAAGUUCCAGCUACCUAUUUUAUUCUGUGAGAUAUCCAUGUGCGCAAGGUUUGUAAAUGUGUACAAAGAAGCACCAGUUUGUUAAAUGUGUAAACAAUGUAGGUAGUGUACAAUAUUC
rnacentral:lncRNA from 1 species